GCAGCCAUCAUUCGAUGAAGACGAGUUGAGAGGGGUCCUUCGUCAUGCGGCGGAGUGCAACAGCGCCCCGCGGGGUGCACGAACGCCGGCCACACCGACUGCUCCCGUCGGGCGAAAGGGAAUCCGGUUCCUAUUCCGGAACCCGGCUGCGUAACCGUCACUUCGCGGGCACUCGCCUGCGAGCGCUCGUCGGGGUAACCCAAAAUGACCCGGAGACGCCGGCGGGAGGUCUGGGAAGAGUUGUCUUUUCUGUAUAAGCGUUCGAGUUCCCUGGAAUCCUAUAGCAGGGAGAUAGGGUUUGGAACGCGAAGAGCACCGCAGUUGCGGCGGUGUCCGGACCUUCCCCCCGGACCUUGAAAAUCCGGGUGAGGGCUACGCGGAAAUGUCGCGCCGGCUCGUACCCAUAUCCGCAGCAGGUCUCCAAGGUUAAGAGCCUCUAGUCGAUAGAAUAAUGUAGGUAAGGGAAGUCGGCAAAUUGGAUCCGUAACUUCGGAACAAGGAUUGGCUCUGAGGAUCGGGGCGUGUCGGGCUUGGUCGGGAAGCGGGUCGGUGCUAACGUGCCGGGCCUGGGCGAGGGGAAACGGUGGUCGGCGGAGCGAUCCGACGGCUUUCCGGGAUCCGAGCUCGGUCUCGUGCCUUGGCCUCCCGCGGAUCUUCCUUGCUGCGGGGUGUCGGCUGUUCUGGACGCGGUUCGGGCUAACGCUCGUCCGUGGUCGGGCCGAACUUGUCCCUUCGGCCGCCAUUCAACGAUCAACUCAGAACUGGCACG
rnacentral:rRNA from 1 species